rnacentral:rRNA from 1 species
GACGAACGCUGGCGGCGUGCCUAAUACAUGCAAGUAGGACGCAGUUGCGAACGGGUGAGCAACGAGUAGGUAACUGCAGAUUAGAGGGGGCUAACUAUUGGAAACGAUAGCUAAUACCGCAUACUAGUAGAUGGACCUGCGUUGUAUUAGCUAGUAGGUAGGGUAAUGGCCUACCUAGGCAAAGAUACAUAGCCGAGCUGAGAGGGUGAUCCGGCACACUGGGACUGAGACACGGCCCAGACUCCUACGGGAGGCAGCAGUAGGGAAGCUUCGGCAAUGGGGGGAAACCUGACCGAGCAACGCCGCGGGAGUGAAGAAGGUUUUCGGAUCGUAAAGCUCUGUUGUUAAGGAAGCGGUACUUAACCAGAAAGGGACGGCUAACUACGUGCCAGCAGCCGCGGUAAUUC